UACGUAGGGUGCGAGCGUUAAUCGGAAUUACUGGGCGUAAAGCGUGCGCAGGCGGUUCGUUAAGUCAGCUGUGAAAGCCCCGGGCUCAACCUGGGAAUGGCACUCGAUACUGGCCAGCUGGAGUAAGGUAGAGGAUGGUGGAAUUCCCGGUGUAGCGGUGAAAUGCGUAGAGAUCGAGAGGAACACCCGUGGCGAAGGCGGCUCCCUGGCCGAACACUGACGCUGAGACGCGAAAGCGCGGGGAGCGAACGGGG
rnacentral:rRNA from 1 species